ensembl:lncRNA
CCUCCUCCCACGGCACCGUUAACUCCACCAUAAUGAUCUUCUCUUCCCCUGGAGACCACAUGAUGAUGUCAGGCCUUAGAGUUGUGGACAAUACCACCUCGGGGAAGUUCAACCUCCAUUUCCCAUCCCUGGGCUGACUGCAGGAGAUUGAGAUUUGAGCCGCCAUGGAAAGGGUCCUGCCUACCAAAAUCUGUCAAAGAAAUUUGAGAGAUGCUGUCAGCUGGACACACAGAAUUAUACCAGUGACAAUAAAACACAAGGCAUCAUGGAGAAAAGGCAGUGGGACCUGAAGCAUGUGCGCUUUCAAAGACA